rnacentral:lncRNA from 1 species
UGUUAUCAAGUCGAAUUGACUUGAUUGGAUGAUCCGAGACUGAGCUCGUAACUUGAUUAUUUGAGCAAGAAGUUUUGAGAAGGCAAAAUUUCAAGAAGAGAGAAGACAAACAUGAGACCAUCUAGUUGAAGCAUCUAUUAAAACCAUGAAAUAUCGAAAUGGUCCAGACAAUGGGUGAAUGGGUCCACAAAUGUCUCCU